GCUGGCGGCAGGCCUAACACAUGCAAGUCGAGCGGCAGCACAGAGGAACUUGUUCCUUGGGUGGCGAGCGGCGGACGGGUGAGUAAUGCCUGGGAAAUUGCCCUGAUGUGGGGGAUAACCAUUGGAAACGAUGGCUAAUACCGCAUGAUGCCUACGGGCCAAAGAGGGGGACCUUCGGGCCUCUCGCGUCAGGAUAUGCCCAGGUGGGAUUAGCUAGUUGGUGAGGUAAUGGCUCACCAAGGCGACGAUCCCUAGCUGGUCUGAGAGGAUGAUCAGCCACACUGGAACUGAGACACGGUCCAGACUCCUACGGGAGGCAGCAGUGGGGAAUAUUGCACAAUGGGCGCAAGCCUGAUGCAGCCAUGCCGCGUGUAUGAAGAAGGCCUUCGGGUUGUAAAGUACUUUCAGUCGUGAGGAAGGUUGUAGUGUGAAUAGCACUAUGAUUUGACGUUAGCGACAGAAGAAGCACCGGCUAACUCCGUGCCAGCAGCCGCGGUAAUACGGAGGGUGCGAGCGUUAAUCGGAAUUACUGGGCGUAAAGCGCAUGCAGGUGGUUUGUUAAGUCAGAUGUGAAAGCCCUGGGCUCAACCUAGGAGUUGCAUUUGAAACUGACAAGCUAGAGUACUGUAGAGGGGGGUAG
rnacentral:rRNA from 1 species